UACAGAGGGUGCAAGCGUUAAUCGGAAUUACUGGGCGUAAAGCGUGCGUAGACGGUUAUGUAAGUCGGGUGUGAAAGCCCCGGGCUCAACCUGGGAAUUGCAUUCGAGACUGCAUAGCUAGGGUGCGGAAGAGGGAAGCGGAAUUUCCGGUGUAGCGGUGAAAUGCGUAGAUAUCGGAAGGAACACCAGUGGCGAAGGCGGCCACCUGGACCAGCACUGACACUGAGGCACGAAAGCGUGGGGAGCAAACAGG
rnacentral:rRNA from 1 species